GAACACGGCCGGAGAAAUGCGAACGCGGAGACUUGAAAAUGUUGCAACGUUGGUGACUGACUGCCUAUAUAUGUUGAUGCGUGGAUGGAUGAUAUGAGCGAGGAAUUUUGUGUAGAUCUGCUCGAACUUCACGACUACGACUCCUCCACUGGGGUUGUCGUGGUGGCCCAUGUGGCGGAUGGAUGGUCUCCUCCUCACUGACCGACUGACUUGACUGACUGACUAACAGAGUGAGUGAGUGAGUGCGUCCUCAGUCAGUACGACAUUCGCUCUAGACGUUGAUGAAAGUGUAGACGGGGAACAUCACGAAGUCCUCGUCAUUGUCUGGGAGCAUUGCAAGUCCGCUGUUCCCUCUACGAUCGUUUGGGAGUGAGAAUUCACAAUUGCAAUUGAGCACAUUCCCUAUUCACACACAUGGUACGCUCGAAGUGAAUUCGCACUGAAAGGAGCGAGGCCGUCCCUCUUGUCCGUUGGCGAAGGACCUGGUGGCGCUUGUGGUCCACGACGCACCUAACCCUCCUGAGAGUGCCCCUGAGAGUGCCCUCAGCGCCCCCCGCUUGCUCGACUAGGUCGAGCGGUCCCAACUCGUCCCAGCUCCACUUUCGGGGUGGGACUGGAAGAAGGGAAGACAAGAACGAGGACGAGGGAGCCAGAGAGUCAGGCCAGCAAAAAAAAUCCCGCGAAAAGCAAGUGGAAGAGACCACGACAGUGAUCGGAGUGAGUUCAAAGCAUGACAAGGCAUGAGUGACGAUUGGUAUCGGAACUAUUGUCAUAUUGUCAUUAUUGUUCUUGGGUUCGGUGCUUGGCGUUUGGCAGCCAAGAGAUAACCAGGAGACAACACGUUGCCGAUUUCAUCAGUCGUCCACCCGUGGUGAUCAUUCAUUGUCCUCAUUUUGGGUAGUGGGGUCCCGUCGUACUCCCGUAUUCCUUGUGCAUAACGUUAACGGGUGGGGUUAAGAGCACCCAAUGUGGUCUGUGCGUUUGAUUAUGGUGUCUCUGGGCUUGAACGGUUGUCAUCGAAUGUCGCGAAAAAGUGCAGUGAUGUGUUUAGGGACCACGAUACAGGCCGUGGCCCUCGUGUUCUCCGCGAGUGUUUUACUCCAAGUUCAACAAGCUGAAGGUGCGUGUAAUGUGGUUUCCAACAGAUGUGAUUUCCCGUUUGAGUUGGAAGGCGAGGAGCACAAUACGUGUGUGCCCCAUGAGAACAGUGCCGAACUGGUUUGCCGGACCACGCCCUCUGAAAACUCGGAUCGAUGGAGUUGGAGUGUCUGUGGCGAGGGAUGCUUUGAAGACGAAGCUCCAUUGAACUUCAGUGAUCCGGCCUACAGUCCCGUGUCUUCGUUCUGCAAGAACAAGGCCGUCGAAUGCGUCUUCCCCUUCACGUACAACGGCGAUUCCUUUGACACGUGCACGUCCGUGGAUACCGAAUUUUCCUGGUGUGCUACACUCGUGGAUAGCGAUGGGAACAUGGUGGAGAACUUUUGGGGCGAAUGUGAUGCGGGAUGCUCAUUGGACACGCCUCCAGAGGUGGAAAAAGUCGAAAUACAAGAGGCAGAAGCCACAGCCGAACCGGAAACUCAACCCAUGGGAGCCGAGUCUCAAUUCCAAUACGAAGACGUGGUCGGAGACCUCGCCUUGGAACAAGCCGAUCCAGGGUCCCCACUUACUAUUAAGGGUCAAAUCACAGGAGUCACAGUUCCAGGAUCUCACGCUUUUCGAGUCGUGAACGGAUCCCUGGAAAAUGGAAACUGUUCCACGAUAUUUGGGGAUCCCGAGGGAACAGUGUCCUUCGGACCAUUCUCCUCUACUGGCGAUGGACCGAUCAAUGUGGAUUUGGACACGUCAGAUGUGUCAUUGUACGGGGAGGAUAGUAUUUUGAACCAGAUUCUGGUGGUAUUCUCCGCAGAAGGCGAAAACGAGGUCCUCAUCGGAUGUGGACCCAUUGUUGAGCCUUCAUGGGAUCUCACGCUGAUCAUCAUCAUUGUCCUGGUGGUGGUGAUUGUGCUCUUACUUCUUCUGAUCGUUUGCUUGUGCUGCUGUUGUUGUCGCAAAAAGAAAAACAAAAAGAACAAGCUUCCGAAUGACGAGACCGAUCUUCCCUACUCUAAUGGCACCUCCAAGAAACCUCUCUACGACGAGCUAUCCAUCCCCUUCAUUGACGCCAGUCCCGCCCCUACACCCAAAACGGGACGCAGUGUGGAGAGGUUGUCGUUCUUUCAUCGCUCUUCCAGUGUUGCCCGAUCACGUGGGUCGCUCUCGCAAGAAUCCGUGUAGAAUCUUAGAAAUCUAGUAGAGCUUCUAGCUUCAUGAGUUUCCCCUGGCAGCCACCCCAAGUCCCAAGUCAGAACCAAAUCCUCCCCUAUAUCCGCCCCCUCCUCCGCCGGGGGCUUCAACGCACGAGAUCAAUUGGAAGGGUACGGAGAAGAACGGGCGAAAAUAUCCGGUCUAACGUGAAUUAACAAGAGAGCGAACGAGAGAACCACGAGAAGAAAUCCAAGCUUGCCUUCAGUUCAAGAAGAAUAUGUCAGAGUGUGAUACUAUUAAUAACCGAAAUCUCUUUUAACGUAUUAUGAUAAAAGUGACCGUGGGGGGACCCAGCCCGUGCAGUUUUCGAGAAGUGCUUUUCUUGUACAUUGAACAGUGUAGCGCUUCAAUUUUAUUGUUGGAUUGGACCAAACAAACGCAACACCCACACACAGAACAGUGUGCCAUAGUAACUUUCAUCGCAAAUUAUAUACAAGAAGACCAUAGCGGCUAUCGAAUGUGAUUGAUCUCACAUUUAUUCUUUCUUUCCCUCUACUUACAUGUUUAAACCGUCUUAACCUGGCUUGAUUCUUGUAAUAAGUUUUUUCUUCCCCCACCCUCAAAUUUGCGGAUGUUCAAAGUUCAUUGAACUAAAUUUGUGGUACCUUAAUUGAGACCAAUGACGCAAGCGCUCUAUUUUUCUAACCCAUUGGCAAAUUUUUGCGGGAAAGUGACUUAUCCAAUUCGACCCCCCCCCCCCCCAACACCUUUAUGCUUGUUAUCCCUUGGCUCCUUCUUUUGCUUACUCGUUGUUUCUGAAAGAAGCAUAGAAUCAUUAUUGUUGUGGUGUUGCUGCUAAUAAUAACAAUAAUAAUGAUAAUGAUUUAUGAUCCUUUCCCUACAUCACUACAUAUUGCCUCAAAUUUGAAAAUCCAAAAGCUAUUGAUAGAGAUGUCUACUAAACACACACAUACAUACACGCUAAAUCUUUCUUUAUUGCAUUAGUGCCUUGUUUAGGGGGGAAAAUAUCACAUGUAAGAAAACGAUAAAUGAUAAUAAAAUAUUUCGAGCUGUUUUCUCACAAAGAA